rnacentral:lncRNA from 1 species
GUCACAGACAUUCAGAUCAUGGCAGAACUGUCACAGAUGUUACUUUGUGAAAACACAAAGAAUAAUGUGUUUGGAGAGAUCAGUCUUCAAUUAGCUAUAUUUUCUAGGAGCCUACCUUUACUUAGCCUCACAACAUGGGCCUUAGCUUUAGCACUUAAUCUGCACAAAUACCUGGCUUAAGUGUUAUGACUGACUGGCUAUUCAACCAAACCAUACAAAUGACCAAUUCGGUAAGAAAGCAUGAACUUCAGUGUUGAACCAAAUCAACCAACCUCCUCAAUCCAAAUGAACAAUGCUAUUCUAGGAGUCUGUGCUAGAAUAAAAUCCUAAUGCAAAGGCUGUCUUAAAAUGCUGAACCCAGAAGAAUUUGGCAUAAAUAAGACAUGGAGUUAGCUGACAUGAGAUAUUACAUUUAUUCCACUGUUGACGAGGACAAAACUGGGCCGCUAUUGUCACAGGAGAGGAUAACAAAGGAAGCUGAGGAAGUCUGUUCUGGAGGCACCAUGACAAAGCACCAGACAGAAAGCAGUCACGUGUGGGGAGAUGAGCAGAGACACCACUUCUCAAGCACCUGAUUAUUCUUUCUCAGUAUUUAGAAGCAAAAAUUAUCCUUAAGAAAAACAACCGCAAACGCAACACAGGCUACACAGAUGAGAAAAUGGGGCUUGCAGAGCUCAAACCAUUACACCAUUCAGAAGCUGGCUUUGGUAUUACUUCAAGUUAUUCAAAACAGUCACCACUUGCUGAGCCUCUGAUGUCUCAUCUGUUGAAUGGGUACAUUUUCUUCCUGAUCCUUCCACCUCUAAACUUGUCUAUUUCCAAGGAUCUAUGGCAUCCAGGCAUAUGAUUUCAAGAGAGAAGGCUGAAAAGGAAGGUGACUGGAAUAUUAAGAACUGUGAGAUAUUCUGAGGAAACUCUAAUUUGUAAAUUGGUAGAAAUGCCAGUAAUUUGUUGGGAAUUGAAGACCCUCUGUAUUCAAGAGCGAAGCUUGGCAGCUGUGCACUGUUGUUUUAUAAAUCAAUAUUACAUCUGAAGGUGGUGUUUGAAUGUUUGUGUCAUUGGGGUUUGUCUCCAACAUAGUCCUGUGACAAGAAAUGUUCAAACAAAACAAACACAAUCCCUUCCCUGUCCUUUAGGAUAAAGUCCAAACGUAAUUCCACAACAGGGAUAUAACAUUCAAAUCAACUACAGAACUUCUGUAAUUAUAUAAAACCCCACGACCACAGAAAUGCAAUUGAAUUGAAGACACUUUGCAAUAUUCCCCAAGAAAGGACUGUGUGGCUGUCAGAUUAACAAAAGUCAAGAGGUGGUGAGACAAUGCUCACCAUUGCAAAAAAGAGCUUUGUGCAUAAU